rnacentral:rRNA from 1 species
UACGAAGGGUGCAAGCGUUACUCGGAAUUACUGGGCGUAAAGCGUGCGUAGGUGGUUCGUUAAGUCUGAUGUGAAAGCCCUGGGCUCAACCUGGGAAUGACAUUGGAUACUGGCGACCUAGAGUGCGGUAGAGGGUAGCGGAAUUCCCGGUGUAGCAGUGAAAUGCGUAGAUAUCGGGAGGAACAUCCGUGGCGAAGGCGGCUACCUGGACCAGCACUGACACUGAGGCACGAAAGCGUGGGGAGCAAACAGG